UGGGGAAUAUUGGACAAUGGGCGCAAGCCUGAUCCAGCAACGCCGCGUGGAGGACGAAGGCCUUAGGGUCGUAAACUCCUGUCAGUAGGGACGAAAAAGUAGGGUCGAACAGGCCCUGCCAUUGACGGUACCUGCAGAGGAAGCCCCGGCUAACUCCGUGCCAGCAGCCGCGGUAAUACGGAGGGGGCUAGCGUUAUUCGGAUUUACUGGGCGUAAAGGGCGUGUAGGCGGCUUGAUAGGUCAAAAGGUGAAAGCCCUCGGCUCAACCGAGGAACUGCCUUUGAAACCAUCUGGCUCGAGGCCGGGAGGGGGUAGUGGAAUUCCUGGGUGUAGCGGUGAAAUGCGUAGAUAUCAGGAGGAACACCGGUGGCGAAGGCGGCUACCUGGACCGGUUCUGACGCUGAGGCGCGAAAGCGUGGGGAGC
rnacentral:rRNA from 1 species